UAAGCCCACCCACGACCUUUUCUUAAACCCACCCGUUCCAUUACUGCGAGUCACGGAAGCAUAACCCCACCCAGGACCUUUUCCUUAACAUAACAGCGUCUAAAUGGACGCCAAUAGUCCCGACCAAGCCCAUGUAGACAAAACGCGUUU